AUUGAACGCUGGCGGCAUGCCUUACACAUGCAAGUCGAACGGUAACAGGUCUUCGGAUGCUGACGAGUGGCGAACGGGUGAGUAAUACAUCGGAACGUGCCCGAUCGUGGGGGAUAACGAAGCGAAAGCUUUGCUAAUACCGCAUAAGAUCUACGGAUGAAAGCAGGGGACCGCAAGGCCUUGCGCGAACGGAGCGGCCGAUGGCAGAGUAGGUAGUUGGUGGGAUAAAAGCUUACCAAGCCGACGAUCUGUAGCUGGUCUGAGAGGACGACCAGCCACACUGGGACUGAGACACGGCCCAGACUCCUACGGGAGGCAGCAGUGGGGAAUUUUGGACAAUGGGCGCAAGCCUGAUCCAGCCAUGCCGCGUGCAGGAUGAAGGCCUUCGGGUUGUAAACUGCUUUUGUACGGAACGAAAAGACUCUUUCUAAUAAAGAGGGUCCAUGACGGUACCGUAAGAAUAAGCACCGGCUAACUACGUGCCAGCAGCCGCCGUAA
rnacentral:rRNA from 1 species